UACGUAGGGUGCGAGCGUUGUCCGGAAUUAUUGGGCGUAAAAGAGCUUGUAGGCGGUUUGUCGCGUCUGCUGUGAAAAUCCGGGGCUCAACCCGGACUUGCAGUGGGUACGGGCAGACUAGAGUGUGGUAGGGGAGACUGGAAUUCUGGUGUAGCGGUGAAAUGCGCAGAUAUCAGGAGGAACACCGAUGGCGAAGGCAGGUCUCUGGGCACUACUGACGCUGAGAAGCGAAAGCAUGGGGAGCGAACAGG
rnacentral:rRNA from 1 species